rnacentral:lncRNA from 1 species
UUCGGCCAACACUAGACCAAAAAGGACUUUUCGGCCUACACUUGACCAAAAAGUGUAUUUCGGCCUAUACUUGACCAAAAAGUUUAUUUUGGCCAAGUGGUGGCCGAAAACAGCCAUUUCGGCCAGGUCCCCACCUUUUCGGCCAAGGCAAGGCCGAAAAACCUACUUCGACCUAUAGGUGGCCGAAAACACCCAUUUCGGCCAACGCGUGGCCGACAGGGUGCUAUUUUUGAUUUUUAUCCACAUCAUGCAAUAGUUUCCAAAUUUGCUAUAAAAUACGUCAUAGUUUUGAAAAAAAAUCUUGGAUCUGCCCAUUUGGGUCUUUUUAUAUUAAUAUAGAUAUAGAUAUAUAUAUACUCCCUCUGUUCCGAAAUAAUUGUCGCUGGGGGUAUCGUUCCGAUCAGGUGAAACAGUGUGAAAGUACAAUACUACCCCCGAUCUGAAAUCGAUCGGGAGGCGUCUUCCUCCGUCGCUCCUCCCCUCCGCCAGGCUUCUCCGCCGUCGCUGCUCCCUUUUGCCGGGCACCUCCGUCGUCCGCAUCUCCGACGUCCUUCCCUGCCGUGGUCCGCAGCUUCCUCGCCGGUCGGCCGCCCUUCCCUGCUGUGGUCCACAGCUCCCUCAUCGGCCGCCCUUCCCCGCCGCGGUCCGCAGCUCCCUCGCCGGCCACCUUUCCCGCCGGCUGCCUGCUCAGCCACAGCUUCGGAUCCUUGCUGCUGGCCAUAGAUCCUUCGCCGGCCGCCUCCCCCCACUCCAAUCAAGAGCUCGAGGUUAGCCGCUGCGCUGUCCACUUCUGCUGCUCCUCUCGUCUCUGCUCCUCUCCACUCCAAUCAAGAGAAUCUGCAAUUGAUCCAAAAAACAGGUCAAUUGAUGUCAAUUUGAUUAACUAAAUCAUCCAAAAACCAGAAUGAUAAGUCCAUAUGCUACAGUUGAUCCCAAGACCGGAAUGACAAGUCCAGGUGUUCCUCAAUUGAGGAAUUUGAUUAACUAAAUCAUCCAAAAACCAGAAUGAUAAGGCCCAUGCUACUGUUGAUCCCAAUUUUGAUGCAUAUCAAUUGCUGUUUGAGUUCUCCAAAUGAACAGGAGUACUCCUCAAUUUUGAUAUGAAAUCACCAUGAUAGGUCCACAUGCUACUGCUGUCAGCAUGAUAAAUUGAUAUGCAUUGAACUUGCAUGAUGUUUGAUGAACUUUGUGCACUACUGUUGUCAGCAUUUAGUACAAUUGUUCAGAGAUCAUUAUGAACUUUAAUAUCAGUAACAGUAUUUUUCAGUAACAGUAUUGUUCACAACAAGCAAUAUUGUGCAGAGAUCAUUUUCUUAAAGUAUUGACAUAUUCCUUAUUUCUUAAAGUUUACUCCAGCAGACAAAGAGAAGAGAAGAGAGAAAAGAUUCAUUUAUUUAUAAAAGUACUGAUGCAAGCAGUAGAGUACACAAAACCUUCAUUAGAGUAUAAAAAAGUACUUAAAUGAAAUUUAAUUACCUGAAUUGGCAAGAGUACUCCUGCUGUAAAACUACUGUAAAUCUACAUGGUAUGAUCCCAUGUUUUACACAAAAUAAGGUCCAAUUCCUCCUCUAUACAAAUCUUUAGCAAGAACUACCCUACCGGGAACUAAACUACCAGCGAAAUCAAUCACAGCAACUAAACCAUGGAGAUGGAGUAGAAGCUAAUCCUACUCCAGAUUGCUGCAAACCAAAUGUUUCUAAAAACAAAUUUUCAGAGUACUUGCAUGUUCCUCCAACAGUAACAAAUUUUCAUUUAGUUUUAACUACUGAAAACAGUGGAUCAUUGUUCAGAGAAGAGCAAGCAGGGGUACAUUUAAUUUGUCAAGACUUACUCGGUGAAUCAACCAAAGAGAAAUCAUUUUUGUUUCAAAAGUUUCAUUUGCUUGUGUGGAGUACUCCAUUUAAAUGAAAGAGAAGAGAAGAGAAAGAGAAGAGAGGAGAAAAAAGAGAGCAAGAAGAGAGAAGAAGAGAAACUUUUAAUUUUACUCCUACUCCUACUAAUCCUAUUAAUCCUACUCCUAAUCCUAAUUUUAAUUUUGCUCCUAGCUACUCCUAAUUUUAAGUACUCUACAGUAACAGAAAAGGUACUGAAUUUUCUUAAUUUGAUCAUACCACCAUCUCAAUGAAUCAAUGUUAAUUAAAGGAGUACAUUUUCUUAAUUUUUAGUAGUACAAAUUCCAGCAACAUCAUCAGUCCAAAACAUUAAGCUAUUAACUGAAAUUUGUGUGCAUAACUGAAUUUAACUGAAAUUACAUCUAUCUCUGAAAUUAAUACCAACUGGUCCUUUGGUCUAAGUGGUGGUAAUUCUUGAGUAAGUACAUUCUCAUAAUUAUUCUGCUGAUGAAGAGCUAUAUUUACAAUGGAUGGCAGCUUGCCUGAAUCCCUGUCAAAGGAUCAAAGAUGACCAUCACUUGAAGCUGGCUACAUCAGCUUCCUAACAUCAGCUUGUACCAUCACUUUGAAGAUGAUCAAAGAAAAUACUCCAAAGAAUUGACUGCAUCAGCUUCUACCAUCACUUGAAGCUGACUACAGUACAUCAGCUUCGACUCCUAAAUUCAUAUAUCACCUUCUACUGUAAAUUCACAACAAAUCAGGAGAGGAGUGCCAUCUUAUCAGGAGUAGACAAGAUCAGCUUGUACUGUAAAUUCAGUUAUCAGGAGUACAACAAAGAGUUGACUACUGUAAAUUCAAUCAUCCUAACGCAGGGCAUGGAGAGGACAAGAUCAGCUUUAUACCUGACACAAGGCAUGGAGAGGACGAUGGUGCCGCUUCUCUAGUGCUCCAGGCAGGCGGUGUCCUACAUCUGCUUCGGUCAGACGCACGCCUCCUUCUUCCGGAGCCAGGCGCACCUCCUGCGCCACACCGUCAGGCGAAGCAGCGGCACCAGAGGCAAGCGAGCCAAGGCUAGAGCACACCCCGACAUGCUGCGCCGCCUCGCGGGCAGCUCAGGUAGCGGCCACGGCCAAGACGAGCAGAAGAAGCCCGCUGCUUCGGUCUCCAAUCCAGCACCGCCGUUCUCCUCAUCCCGCUGCUCCGGUCUCCAAUCCAGCACCGCCGUCCUCCUCCCGCUGCUCCAGCAUGGAUCAAGCACCGCCACCCACGGAUCGACCACCGCGACCCACAGAUCGAGCACCUCCGCCCACAGAUCGAGCAGCGCGGCGGUAAAAAUGUCACCUUUGACCAAGAGCUAGCAGGCGGGUUGCUAGGGUUAGGGGUACGAAUCGGGGUGGUGAGGAGCAAGGCGGGGUGAGGAAGACACCGACGAGAGUGAGAGGACGGCGACUGGCCGGCGAGCGACUGGCCGGUGAGCGAGUGGUCGGCGGGGAGGGCGACUGGGCCGGGAGAGAGCGAGUGAGUGGGGAGCGAGCGAGAGAGCGAGAGUGCGUGCAAGUGGAAGGGCAAUUUGGG